rnacentral:rRNA from 1 species
GACGAAUGCUGGCGGCGUGCUUAACACAUGCAAGUGGAGCGACGAACCAGGGCUUGCCCUGGGGCAGAGCCGCGAACGGGUGAGUAACACGUGGGUAACGUGCCCCGAUGACUGGGGACAACCCGGGGAAACCCGGGCUAAUACCGGAUAUGCCCCCUCACAUCAGUGAGGUGUGUAAAGGAAGCUUCGGCCUCCGCAUCGGGAUCGGCCCGCGGCCCAUUAGCUUGUUGGUGAGGUAACGGCUCACCAAGGCAUCUAUGGGUAGCUGGUCUGAGAGGACGAUCAGCCACACUGGGACUGAGACACGGCCCAGACUCCUACGGGAGGCAGCAGUGGGAAUCUUGCGCAAUGCGCGAAAGCGUGACGCAGCAACGCCGCGU